UACGGGGGGAGCAAGCGUUGUUCGGAUUUACUGGGCGUAAAGGGCGCGUAGGCGGUCAGCACAAGUCAGUUGUGAAAUCUCCGGGCUUAACUCGGAAAGGUCAACUGAUACUGUGCGACUAGAGUGCAGAAGGGGCAACUGGAAUUCUCGGUGUAGCGGUGAAAUGCGUAGAUAUCGAGAGGAACACCUGCGGCGAAGGCGGGUGCUGGGCUGACACUGACGCUGAUGCGCGAAAGCCAGGGGAGGCGAAACGGG
rnacentral:rRNA from 1 species